rnacentral:rRNA from 1 species
UACGGAGGGGGUUAGCGUUGUUCGGAAUUACUGGGCGUAAAGCGCGCGUAGGCGGAUUAGAAAGUUGGGGGUGAAAUCCCGGGGCUCAACCUCGGAACUGCCUCCAAAACUGCUAGUCUAGAGUUCGAGAGAGGUGAGUGGAAUUCCGAGUGUAGAGGUGAAAUUCGUAGAUAUUCGGAGGAACACCAGUGGCGAAGGCGGCUCACUGGCUCGAUACUGACGCUGAGGUGCGAAAGUGUGGGGAGCAAACAGG